CGGACUAGAAUUUGUCAAUGGAAGAUGCUAGAUCUUGUUCUGUUGGCUUUGCGGAGGAUUUACCUGUGGAAUCCAAGUGCUUGCACAACUCUGCUGAGAAGUUCCAGAGCUGACCUUCAGCAUCACUCCUGAGCGACUGCUCGAGCUGCGCACCCUGAAACCUCCCCUGGCUUCAGGCUCUGCUGUCACCCAUCUCUUCAGAGUGUGCUUAAGGCACCCAAACUGCUGGUACCAAGGCGAGCACAGCUCUACCUCACCCGGAAUUUUACUCUCAGCCCCAUUAUUGGUGUUCCGACACGUGUUGGCUGGACAGUUGCUGUAGGACAGAUCAAGCAGUUCUUGUCUGAAAAUCUGGAGUCCAGUGUAACCAAGUGGAAAGUGAAGAUAUUUGGUGACGUAGAAAUAUUUUUAACAGGGAAAUGCAGC
rnacentral:lncRNA from 1 species